UAUGGCCACAUCACAUUGCAAAACCAGUUCCCGUACGAUCACCAAAGUUAAACAACGUCGAACCUGGUCAGUACCUAGAUGGGUGACCUCUUGGAAAUACCAGGUGUUGUAAG